UGCCCAUGAAGAAACAGCUCAGUGUUGC
rnacentral:piRNA from 1 species